rnacentral:ribozyme from 1 species
UCAUUCUUGAAUUUCUGUUCCAGCUUUAACAUUCGAUCCAAUUCGUCCUUCAGAAACUCCACAUUAUCAUCAAAC